UAAAGCUUAUGUACAUCAACUCUUUUCAUAUAAACUAGGCAACCUGUCUCUUUCUUUUUUCUUUUUCAUAUCUCAUAUAGAGUGCAAGUAAUAGAUUUUUGAUGGUAUCUAAUUCAGAACAUAUGCAGUAAUUUCUAGAGUAUAUCCUUAGAAUGAGAUAACAAAAUCUGUGAAGCAUAUUAAGAAACACACCAUAUCUCAUAUGGGGUGUCCAUCUCUGGGCU
rnacentral:lncRNA from 1 species